rnacentral:tRNA from 1 species
AGGAUAAUAGUUUAAAAAUCUAAAACAUUUGAUUUGCAUUCAAAAAAAAUUAAAAAUUAAUUUAUCUUA